AUUGAACGCUGGCGGCAGGCCUAACACAUGCAAGUCGACCGAGUGGCGGACGGGUGAGUAAUGUCUGGGAAACUGCCCGAUGGAGGGGGAUAACUACUGGAAACGGUAGCUAAUACCGCAUACCAUCGGAUGUGCCCAGAUGGGAUUAGCUAGUAGGUGGGGUAACGGCUCACCUAGGCGACGAUCCCUAGCUGGUCUGAGAGGAUGACAGGACACACUGGAACGUAGACACGGGCCAGACUCCUACGGUAGGCAGAAGGGGGGAAUAUUGCACAAUUGGCGAAAGCCUGAUGCAGCCAUGCCGCGUGUGUGAAGAAGGCCUUCGGGUUGUAAAGUACUUUCAGCUAGGAGGCGUUACUCACAGAAGAAGCACCGGCUAACUCCGUGCCAGCAGCCGCGGUAAUAC
rnacentral:rRNA from 1 species